rnacentral:misc_RNA from 1 species
AAGUCGUAACAAGGUUUCCGUAGGUGAACCUGCGGAAGGAUCAUUAAUACGCUUUUGUUUGUAACAAAACAAAACGUUUUCAACUCCAAAAGAAAUAGUGGAAAUAUAACUUCCGGAUGCGAAUGUUGGGGAACUGAGUAAAAUCGGUUCUUUGAAAAAGGGACUUCAAGCAAUUGACACUUCAGAGUAGAGCAGUGAGGUGAAAUUCUCUUUAUUGAGAGUUUGGUUCUGAAAAACAUUUGUAUCCGGUUAUCAUUCUGUUCUACAAAUUCUAUCAAACAAUAAACCCCAUGUACAACAACUUGAACUAAACAUUUUUUUGUUGUCUCUGCUCACACUUGUGUGAGAAGAGACCACAAAGAAAAAACCUGAACUUAAGAACAACUCUUAACAACGGAUAUCUUGGUUCUC